CAAUAAGAUAUUUUGAGAGAGAUCACUUUCAAAUAACUUUUUUUAUAUAUACAGUUGACCCUUGAAAAACAUUGGUUUGAACUGUGUAGGUCCACUUAUACGUGAGGGUUUUUUUUUUUUUAUAUAAGUACAGUACAGUAAAUGUAUUUUCUUUUCCUUAUGAUUCUCUUAACACUUUCUUUUCUCUAGCUUGCUUUAUUGUAAGAAUACAGUAUGUAAUAAUACACAAAAUAUACAUUAAUUGACUUUUCUCGGUAAGGUUCUGGUCAACGCUAAGCUAUUAGCUAAAUAUUGGGGGAGUCAAAAGUUAUAUGCGAAUUUUUGACUAGGUGGUCAGCACCCCUAAUCCUGUUGUUCAGGGACUAAGUAUAUUGUUAUAAUUGCUCUAUUUUAUUAUGAUUUAUUGUUGUUAAUCUACUGUCACUAAUUUAUAAAUUAAACUUAAAAAAAUUAAACUUUAUCAUAGGUAUGUAUGUAUAGGAAAAAAACAUAUAAAGUGUGGUACUAUCUGUGGUUUCAGGCAUCCACGGAGUUGUUAGAACUUACUCCCUCUAGGUAAGGGGAGACUAAUGUAUUUUAAGUAAGAGAGAGUUAUGAUAAGAUUCAUACUUUACAAGGAGGCUGCUUGUGAUCCUCUGAAAACAUUAAGGAAAUGAGACUCCAGGAAGAGAAAGAAGGUAAGAGGCUAUUGCAGUAAUCCAAAUGAAAGGUGAUGGUGGCUGAGACCAGCCUAACCAUCUUUCAGUUUCUCCUACACAUCAUAAUUAUCCUCCAUUUUGUUUCUAACACAUACAAUUGUGAGAAGGGUUAUCACACAGACUGUUCCUUCUGGCUGGAACACAUAUGCUCCCCCAUUUUCAACCACCAGUUCUUACAAGCUUUAAAGUCUUAGCCUAAAUGUCACUUCCUUAGGUAGCCUUCUUUGAUACCCUGAUCCCUCCUUAGCACUGAACAUAAUUAUAAAUGAUAAAUUAUUUAAUUACAAAUUAAGCGGUUAUUUAUAUGGUUAUUGUUUGGAUAUAUGCCUCACCCACUGGACUCUAGAUUUCAUGAGAAAUGUGUGAGUGAGUGGGGAGGGAGAGAUGUGAAGAGAUUCAAGAGUGGAUACAUAGAAUGUUAUGUUUAAAUGUUUGUGAAGAUAGAGCAAGAAAAAAAAUCCAAGAUUAAAUGGAGUUUCCCAUUUAAACCCUUGAGUUGAUGCUGGUGGCAUUCCUUGAGCUAGGAGACAGAGGCAGAGAAAUAGGUUAAGUGGAAGACGUAAUCAUGAGUUCAGUUUGGGAUAUGUAGUGGGUACAAAUCUUAAACCACAAAAUCCAAUGGGAAAGAAAUACAACUUGGCGAAGUUUCCAUAAUAAGCUCUAUAUCCCAUUGUGGGUUCUUUUUUUUUAAGUUUAUUUAUUUAUUUUUGAGAGAGACAGACAGUGUAAGCAGGGUGGGGUGUGGGGCAGAGAGAAGAAGAGAGAGGAUCCCAAGCAAGCUCCAUGCUGUCAGCACAAACCUUGAAGCAAUGCUCGAACUCAUGAAACCGUGAGAUCAUGACCUGAGCCGAGAUUAAGAGUAAGCCACUUAAUCAACUGAGCCAUCCAGGCACCCCUAUUAACUCCAGGCACCAUUGUUAACUUCAGUCAUCUCCAGCACUCACUCAUGACAACUAAGGCUACUGUUAUCUUAGAACUAUUUUCUUUACUCUUGGAGUUACUUUGCAUGUAUUUUAUUUGUGUCUUUUCCUCCUUGAUUUUCUUUCCUUUUUCUUUCUAAUUUUCUCUUUUUCCAAGCCGUAAUGUUAUUAAAGCAAUGUUUGUUACUGCUGUUUGACAUCACUAUCAAGAUUACAACAAAAUAAAUGUGUUUAUAAAUUAAAACAUGAAUGAUUUUCACUAGAAAUAAGGAGAUGAUUUUGAAGGGGAAAAAUUUAUUAAAUACUGGAAUGGAUAACCAAGGAGUAUAAGGGAUUGCCAUCUGGUAAAUCCUCAAACUUGGAAGGAGUUUAAAGAGGACUGUUUUUGUAAAACAAAACAAAACAUGUAUAUGUGUGUGUGUGUAUGUAUUCGUAUAUAUAUUCAUAUAUAAGCAAAUGUAAGCAAAUAAAUCCCUUUAUUGUUUAUUAGUUUGUGUUGGGUUUCUGUCCCUUUCUGUCCAAGGAGUACCUACAAAUUCAGGGUCUUUGUCCUGUAAGGUGAUUGAUACUAUGCAAUGUUUUCUUUCAUCCAUGAUAUUCAAAGUCAUCUGUGACAGAUUUUCAGUUUCUAGUAAAGAAGCUGGCUACCUGAAACAACCAAUGGGGUAAGCGUAACACUUCUGGUGUUUUUCUGUCCUUUGUAUCGACACUAUGGCUAGCCCAAAGAAAAAUCAAAUCCACUUAUUCUAUCUAUAAAUAAGUUUCCGUUUAAAGCAGGAUCCCUUUUGUGGAAAAUAAAUUGAAAAGGAAACAAUUUAUCCUAUCCAAUUUUCCUCUAUCAUCCAGGGCAGAAGCUCUUUUCACUUCAACAGAAUGAAAAGGGAAUCUGAGAAAGAUUCUGGGAAGUCUCCUUACAGUUAGUAUUCUUUCCUACUGUGAAGGAUGAAUUCACCCAAACUUUUAGAAGUGCAGAAUGAAUAGGUAGUGAAGGAAGGUAAUUUCCCACUUUGAGGGAAAGAUGCUGGUGACUCAAAGAGUGAGAGAAAAGUAGAAUUGCAAUGAGAAAAUAAAACUGGAUGAGCAAGAAAACUAAAACAGGAAAAUAACCUUACUCAGCAUUUUCUUUGUGGUUCUUUUCUUUAACUUACAUAAAGUGUACUUUCCAAUGGCGUGGUCAUUCUGCCAUUAAACAAAUAGAUAUAAAGCUCACUGUGACCUAGGCACCAGGUAAAUGCUGAGGAUGCAACAAAGAGUAAGAUACCAAUGAGUCCAUCUAUAUUUGUAUGAGUCAGAAUUAGAUUCUAGGAAGGAAAGGAAAUGAAUAUCAAACACCCACUGUAUUAUUGUACUGAGGUUCUCCAAGCUCCCCAAACACCCUAGGCAAUGGGCAAAAGGAGGAGGGUGCUUAGUCUAUUCCUAAGGUAAUGAAGAGGGCAGUUUGGAAGACAGGACACCUGACUCUGGUCUGAAAGUCUCAAGACUGUGAUGGCCUGCUUUUCUGACAAAAGAGCUAAGCAAGCAGGCUGUGUUGGGAAAGGCCCGCAUCCAAAGUUUGGUGGUAUAGAUGCAUGAGCCAUAUAUGGACUCAGAUAAACAGGCUGGACUUACCCAAGAGGAACACUUGAAGGUUGUGGUUAUGUCAGCGGAGAGGUAGAUUAUUGGAAACCCCUGGAAACUAUCAAAGACAGACAAAGCUAGACGCGAUAAAAAUGGUAAGGACAAAUUUUAAUCAGUUAUAUAGUAUCGCAACAGGGGAAAGAGUCCUGUGUGAACUGAACUCAAUUUCAAUUUGUACAGAAGUGACUGGCAUUUUAAAGGGAGGAUAAAGGAGGGGUACUUGGGUGGCUCAGUCGGUUAAGUGGCCGACUUCGGCUCUGGUCAUGAUCUCGCGGUCUGUGAGUUCGAGCCCCGCGUAGGGCUCUGUGCUGACAGCUCAGAGCCUGGAGCCUGUUUCAGAUUCUGUGUCUCCCUCUCUCUGACCCUCCCCUGUUCAUGCUCUGUCUCUGUCUGUCUCAAAAAUAAAUAAACGUUAAAUAAAGGGAGGAUAAAGGAAAAGGGAGAGGGGAGAGCAGGGGCUCCAUACAAUCAGGGAAAUGAAAACUCCCAAAAAGUUUGGGGAGGGGGUGGGUUUCCUGUGUGUAACACAUUUGAGCUUGUUAAUUUGCCCUUAUCAAAGUUAAGAGUUCUGCCUUUCCACAGAGAGUGGGAGACAGGGGUUCCAUCUUUAAGUGUUGGCUAGAACACACAGUAAGUUCUUUUGGCAACAUUGAGUUUUCUCUGGUAGGCACUUUAAGUGCUAUUGUCAUCCUAGGGAUGUAGCUUUGGAAUGUUAGCAACUGUCAGUGUUUGUUUAAGUUUUUAUAGAUCAAGAUUGAAGCCUACUUUCUCCACCUCAGAGGCUCAGAGGAUCCUGGCUGGAGUUUGGUCAAGGAGAAACUCUUUGUGAAAACCACGAGCUAAGGAAGGCUGGUCACCUAGAGGAACCAGGGGGAGCCCACAAAUACAGUUCUUAAGCUAUCAAGCGAAUAAGUGAAGUAUUACUAUCACUCUUAUUUCAAAAAUGAGGCACCUGAGACACAAGUGACUUGACCAACAUCGUAAGAUGAAACAAUGGAGAAAGAAAAAGCAAACUGCAGAGAAGAAUAAGAAUGAAUAGUCAAAGGAGUAAAAGAAUCAGGAGAAGGUGGAGGGAGGACGAUCUGAGUCAAGAAAGGAAAGUACUUCAAGGAGGUCAAGAACAUCAGAUGCUGUGAUAAUCUGUGGGGCGAACUCACUUUAUGGAUCCCAUCUCUAGAGCCCCUCCUGAGGUAUUUAGAACAAAGAGAGAGAGACUGAAAAAAAGUGGCCAAAGAAGCAGAAAGGAAACAGAGACCAUGACUUUACAGAAGCCCAGGGAAGAGAUCUUCAAAAGAAUGACAUGGUUAAUAUGGUCAAAUGCCACAGAGCUCUAAUACAGACUUGCAAGAGUCCCCUAGAUUUGGCAAUAUGGAUUGGAAUCUCAGUGAGAGUCACUUCAGUGGAGUGAAAAGCCAAGAUUGCAACAGCCAAGGAAUAAAUGACAGGUGAAGAAGAGGAGAUAGUGAGCAGAUACCUUUUUGAAGGACGAGAGAGCCUGAAUGGAUGUGGAGUUGAGAAUGGGUGUAUUUUUUAAGAUGGGAAAUACUAGGGCCUGUUUAAAUGCUUUCAGGAGAGCGGUAAGUGUGAGGGCACGAGUGAAGAUACAAUAUUGAGAGAUGGUAGAACCAAAUGAGAUCAGAUUACAAGUAGAGAGAGUAGAUUUGGAUAAAAGGCAGGACAUCUUUCCCAUUUGGGCAAUGGAGAAAAGAAGGAGAAAGAGGUACAGACAAAAGUAAAUUUGUGCAUUGAGUAGAACAAAGUUGAAGGUGUUCCCAAAUGAUGAAUUCUAUUUUCCUUAAGGUGAAGUCUCUUACAGACAGUGAGAAGUGCUGGGAUAUAGAUUAAGAAAAGGAGGGAGAAGUUUCAAAUGAUUUCUGUAGAGUGGGAGUAAAGCUACCCAUACAACAGAAGGAUUGCCAUACAUCCACUGAGAACCUGUUUGGAGUGCAUGAAUUCAGAGUGGCCUGACUAUAAGUGUUUGUAUAAUUUUUUUUUUCCCAUCAUGGCUAACAGACUAGGUGUGAAGCACAAAGGCAGGUGGUUGUGUACUUCAGUCAUGGAGUUUUCCUGGGCAUGUGUGAUGGAAGGAUCAAAAAAGAAGGCAGUAGAGGAAACUGGAUGGAGAAGGGUAAAAGUGAUUU